rnacentral:rRNA from 1 species
AUUGAACGCUGGCGGCAGGCCUAACACAUGCAAGUCGAACGAGUGGCGGACGGGUGAGUAAUGUCUGGGAAACUGACUGAUGGAGGGGGAUAACUACUGGAAACGGUAGCUAAUACCGCAUACCAUCAGAUGUGCCCAGAUGGGAUUAUCUUGUUGGUGGGGUAACGGCUCACCAAGGAGCCGAUCCCUAGCUGGUCUGAGAGUAUGACCAGCCACACUGAAAGUGAGAAACGGUCCAGACUCCGACGGGAGGCAGCAGUGGGGAAUCUUGCACACUGGGCGCAAGCCUAAUGCAGCCAUGCCGCGUGUAUGAAGAAGGCCUUCGGGUUGUAAAGUACUUUCAGCGGGGAGGCGUUACCCGCAGAAAAAGCACCGGCUAACUCCGUGCCAGCAGCCGCGGUAAUAC